AGCAGCCGCCGCGGGAAUACGGAGGAUCCAAGCGUUAUCCGGAAUCAUUGGGUUUAAAGGGUCCGUAGGCGGUCUUGUAAGUCAGUGGUGAAAGCCCAUCGCUCAACGGUGGAACGGCCAUUGAUACUGCAGGACUUGAAUUAUUGGGAAGUAACUAGAAUAUGUAGUGUAGCGGUGAAAUGCUUAGAGAUUACAUGGAAUACCAAUUGCGAAGGCAGGUUACUACCAAUUGAUUGACGCUGAUGGACGAAAGCGUGGGUAGCGAACAGGAUUAGAUACCCCUGUAGUCCCUGUCUCUUAUAC
rnacentral:rRNA from 1 species